GAUGAACGCUGGCGGCGUGCCUAAUACAUGCAAGUCGAGCGAACAGACGAGGAGCUUGCUCCUCUGACGUUAGCGGCGGACGGGUGAGUAACACGUGGAUAACCUACCUAUAAGACUGGGAUAACUUCGUGAAACCGGAGCUAAUACCGGAUCAUAUAUUGAACCGCAUGGUUCAAUAGUGAAAGACGGUUUUGCUGUCACUUAUAGAUGGAUCCGCGCCGCAUUAGCUAGUUGGUAAGGUAACGGCUUACCAAGGCGACGAUGCGUAGCCGACCUGAGAGGGUGAUCGGCCACACUGGAACUGAGACACGGUCCAGACUCCUACGGGAGGCAGCAGUAGGGAAUCUUCCGCAAUGGGCGAAAGCCUGACGGAGCAACGCCGCGUGAGUGAUGAAGGUCUUCGGAUCGUAAAACUCUGUUAUUAGGGAAGAACAAAUGUGUAAGUAACUAUGCACGUCUUGACGGUACCUAAUCAGAAAGCCACGGCUAACUACGUG
rnacentral:rRNA from 1 species